GACGAACGCUGGCGGCGUGCUUAACACAUGCAAGUCGAACGGAAAGGCCCUGCUUUUGUGGGGUGCUCGAGUGGCGAACGGGUGAGUACCACGUGAGUAACCUGCCCUUGACUUUGGGAUAACUUCAGGAAACUGGGGCUAAUACCGGAUAGGAGCUCCUGCUGCAUGGUGGGGGUUGGAAAGUUUCGGCGGUUGGGGAUGGACUCGCGGCUUAUCAGCUUGUUGGUGGGGUAGUGGCUUACCAAGGCUUUGACGGGUAGCCGGCCUGAGAGGGUGACCGGCCACAUUGGGACUGAGAUACGGCCCAGACUCCUACGGGAGGCAGCAGUGGGGAAUAUUGCACAAUGGGAGGAAGCCUGAUGCAGCAACGCCGCGUGCGGGAUGACGGCCUUCGGGUUGUAAACCGCUUUCGCCUGUGACGAAGCGUGAGUGACGGUAAUGGGUAAAGAAGCACCGGCUAACUACGUG
rnacentral:rRNA from 1 species